GGUUAAGCGACUAAGCGUACACGGUGGAUGCCCUGGCAGUCAGAGGCGAUGAAGGACGUGCUAAUCUGCGAUAAGCGUCGGUAAGGUGAUAUGAACCGUUAUAACCGGCGAUUUCCGAAUGGGGAAACCCAGUGUGAUUCGUCACACUAUCAUUAACUGAAUCCAUAGGUUAAUGAGGCGAACCGGGGGAACUGAAACAUCUAAGUACCCCGAGGAAAAGAAAUCAACCGAGAUUCCCCCAGUAGCGGCGAGCGAACGGGGAGCAGCCCAGAGCCUGAAUCAGUGUGUGUGUUAGUGGAAGCGUCUGGAAAGGCGCGCGAUACAGGGUGACAGCCCCGUACACAAAAAUGCACAUACUGUGAGCUCGAUGAGUAGGGCGGGACACGUGGUAUCCUGUCUGAAUAUGGGGGGACCAUCCUCCAAGGCUAAAUACUCCUGACUGACCGAUAGUGAACCAGUACCGUGAGGGAAAGGCGAAAAGAACCCCGGCGAGGGGAGUGAAAAAGAACCUGAAACCGUGUACGUACAAGCAGUGGGAGCCUCUUAAUGGGGUGACUGCGUACCUUUUGUAUAAUGGGUCAGCGACUUAUAUUCUGUAGCAAGGUUAACCGAAUAGGGGAGCCGAAGGGAAACCGAGUCUUAACUGGGCGUUAAGUUGCAGGGUAUAGACCCGAAACCCGGUGAUCUAGCCAUGGGCAGGUUGAAGGUUGGGUAACACUAACUGGAGGACCGAACCGACUAAUGUUGAAAAAUUAGCGGAUGACUUGUGGCUGGGGGUGAAAGGCCAAUCAAACCGGGAGAUAGCUGGUUCUCCCCGAAAGCUAUUUAGGUAGCGCCUCGUGAAUUCAUCUCCGGGGGUAGAGCACUGUUUCGGCAAGGGGGUCAUCCCGACUUACCAACCCGAUGCAAACUGCGAAUACCGGAGAAUGUUAUCACGGGAGACACACGGCGGGUGCUAACGUCCGUCGUGAAGAGGGAAACAACCCAGACCGCCAGCUAAGGUCCCAAAGUCAUGGUUAAGUGGGAAACGAUGUGGGAAGGCCCAGACAGCCAGGAUGUUGGCUUAGAAGCAGCCAUCAUUUAAAGAAAGCGUAAUAGCUCACUGGUCGAGUCGGCCUGCGCGGAAGAUGUAACGGGGCUAAACCAUGCACCGAAGCUGCGGCAGCGACGCUUAUGCGUUGUUGGGUAGGGGAGCGUUCUGUAAGCCUGUGAAGGUGUACUGUGAGGUAUGCUGGAGGUAUCAGAAGUGCGAAUGCUGACAUAAGUAACGAUAAAGCGGGUGAAAAGCCCGCUCGCCGGAAGACCAAGGGUUCCUGUCCAACGUUAAUCGGGGCAGGGUGAGUCGACCCCUAAGGCGAGGCCGAAAGGCGUAGUCGAUGGGAAACAGGUUAAUAUUCCUGUACUUGGUGUUACUGCGAAGGGGGGACGGAGAAGGCUAUGUUGGCCGGGCGACGGUUGUCCCGGUUUAAGCGUGUAGGCUGGUUUUCCAGGCAAAUCCGGAAAAUCAAGGCUGAGGCGUGAUGACGAGGCACUACGGUGCUGAAGCAACAAAUGCCCUGCUUCCAGGAAAAGCCUCUAAGCAUCAGGUAACAUCAAAUCGUACCCCAAACCGACACAGGUGGUCAGGUAGAGAAUACCAAGGCGCUUGAGAGAACUCGGGUGAAGGAACUAGGCAAAAUGGUGCCGUAACUUCGGGAGAAGGCACGCUGAUAUGUAGGUGAAGCGACUUGCUCGUGGAGCUGAAAUCAGUCGAAGAUACCAGCUGGCUGCAACUGUUUAUUAAAAACACAGCACUGUGCAAACACGAAAGUGGACGUAUACGGUGUGACGCCUGCCCGGUGCCGGAAGGUUAAUUGAUGGGGUUAGCGGUAACGCGAAGCUCUUGAUCGAAGCCCCGGUAAACGGCGGCCGUAACUAUAACGGUCCUAAGGUAGCGAAAUUCCUUGUCGGGUAAGUUCCGACCUGCACGAAUGGCGUAAUGAUGGCCAGGCUGUCUCCACCCGAGACUCAGUGAAAUUGAACUCGCUGUGAAGAUGCAGUGUACCCGCGGCAAGACGGAAAGACCCCGUGAACCUUUACUAUAGCUUGACACUGAACAUUGAGCCUUGAUGUGUAGGAUAGGUGGGAGGCUUUGAAGUGUGGACGCCAGUCUGCAUGGAGCCGGCCUUGAAAUACCACCCUUUAAUGUUUGAUGUUCUAACGUUGGCCCGUAAUCCGGGUUGCGGACAGUGUCUGGUGGGUAGUUUGACUGGGGCGGUCUCCUCCUAAAGAGUAACGGAGGAGCACGAAGGUUGGCUAAUCCUGGUCGGACAUCAGGAGGUUAGUGCAAUGGCAUAAGCCAGCUUGACUGCGAGCGUGACGGCGCGAGCAGGUGCGAAAGCAGGUCAUAGUGAUCCGGUGGUUCUGAAUGGAAGGGCCAUCGCUCAACGGAUAAAAGGUACUCCGGGGAUAACAGGCUGAUACCGCCCAAGAGUUCAUAUCGACGGCGGUGUUUGGCACCUCGAUGUCGGCUCAUCACAUCCUGGGGCUGAAGUAGGUCCCAAGGGUAUGGCUGUUCGCCAUUUAAAGUGGUACGCGAGCUGGGUUUAGAACGUCGUGAGACAGUUCGGUCCCUAUCUGCCGUGGGCGCUGGAGAACUGAGGGGGGCUGCUCCUAGUACGAGAGGACCGGAGUGGACGCAUCACUGGUGUUCGGGUUGUCAUGCCAAUGGCACUGCCCGGUAGCUAAAUGCGGAAGAGAUAAGUGCUGAAAGCAUCUAAGCACGAAACUUGCCCCGAGAUGAGUUCUCCCUGACUCCUUGAGAGUCCUGAAGGAACGUUGAAGACGACGACGUUGAUAGGCCGGGUGUGUAAGCGCAGCGAUGCGUUGAGCUAACCGGUACUAAUGAACCGUGAGGCUUAACCUU
rnacentral:rRNA from 1 species